rnacentral:rRNA from 1 species
AUUAACAGGAUUAGAUACCCUGGUAGUCCACGCCCUAAACUAUGAUCACUAGCUAUUGGAAAAAUUAUAUUCAGUGGCCAAGCUAAAGCGAUAAGUGAUCCACCUGGGAAGUACGAUCGCAAGAUUGAAACUCAAAGGAAUUGACGGGGUUUCGCACAAGCGGUGGAGCAUGUGGUUUAAUUCGAUGAUACGCGAGGAACCUUACCAAGGUUUAAAUGUAUUACGAAUAAGCUGGAAACAACUUAGUCUAUAAGGACGUAAUACAAGGUGCUGCAUGGUUGUCUUCAGUUCGUGCUGUGAAGUGUUUGGUUAAGUCCUAUAACGAGCGCAACCCCUAUUGUUAGUUGCCAUCGGGUAAAGCUGGGGACUCUAACAAGACUGCCGAUGCAAAUUGAGAGGAAGGUGGGGAUAAUGUCAAAUCAUCAUGGCCUUUAUGCCUUGGGCUACACACGUGCUACAAUGGCAGGUACAAAGGGGAGCCACUGGGUGACCAGGAGCUAAUCUCUAAAACCAGCCUAAGUUCGGAUUGGAGUCUGCAACUUGACUCUAUGAAGUUGGAAUCGCUAGUAAUCGUGCAUCAGCAAUGGCGCGGUGAAUACGUUCUCGGAACUUGCACACACCGCCCGUCAAGCCAGAGAAGUCGGGUAUACCUGAAGUUAGCAACCCUUUUUUUUAAGGGCCUGCCUAAGGUAAAAUUGAUGACUAGGGCUAAGUCGUAACAAGGUAGCCAAU